GUCCGUAUUCAGGAAUCUCAUUCGUAGAUUUAACUCUUGGCCUAUCGAGUGUACCCUUCACAGCCGGAUAACCUGUAAAUUAGUGCAAGCACGCUAAUUUCAAGCAGUAGCAUGUAUAAAUUUCUUAGGACCGAUGAUGCUGUAAACUUCUUGAAGGACUAAAAAAAUACCUUUAAGUAACAUCGUUUCAGCAAUCUACAGUUACUGUGCGGAAUAUUCUUCUCAUGCCUGCAGUGAAUCUCGUCAUCAGGCUCGUGUUGAGCCUUUUGCUCAUAAAGUUACCGUGCGCGACCAGAAUGAACGGCGUCAUUGCUAAUUUAUAGAGGCGUUUAAAUGCCUGAUUUCAACUUUUGUAAGCAGUCCGUAUGGCAUCGAAGAUUGGCGCUCCGCUCCCUUCGAUUUUUAGUACCGUAGAUACCAUACGUCUGUCGCACAUUAGAACCUCGGCGAAGGACGGGAAAAUACGAGCUGAAAAUUGACUUUGUUAGUUAGCCAAUUUUCACAAAUAUUUUUA